rnacentral:misc_RNA from 1 species
GGCUGUGAGUCAGCAUCUUCAGGUCUAUUCCAGCUCUCAACAAUUUGAGGUAAUCCACGUAAAUGAACCAACAACCUUUCUCUCAUUAUCUGAACCAGUUUUGUAUGUAUUUCAUCUCGGUGAACCUUGUAAUCCUGUGCUACACGAUCAAUCUCAGAGAGCAGCAAUAGCUUUCUUAUCUCGGGUACUUUAAGGAAAAGAACUCGCCUGAUUUCAGGAAUAAUAGCAUGUGUAAAACUGAUGACUUGACUUGCAAGGGCCAAGUGUUUAGAAGUAAUAGACUUCAAUCCAGAUACCUGCAUGGCACCAGCUCCAAGAACAAGUUGACAAGUCCUCGUAUUGAAAAAUUUUAAUAUCUCCACAACACGAUGAACAACUUCCGAAGACAGUGCUGGCAAAAAAUUAUUCAUAUCAAUGUACUCUGACAACAUCUUCAGCAAUAUUAAGCCACAGUUUACCAUGUGAUAUCCAACACCUC